rnacentral:rRNA from 1 species
UACGUAGGAGGCAAGCGUUGUCCGGAAUUACUGGGCGUAAAGCGCGUGUAGGUGGUGGGACAAGUCUGCUGUGAAAGCGCCUGGCUUAACCGGGCGAGGUCGGCGGAAACUGUCACACUUGAGGACGGUAGAGGGGGGUGGAAUUCCCGGUGUAGGUGGUGAAAUGCGUAGAGAUCAGGAGGAACACCGGUGGCGAAGGCGGCAUCCUGGACCAACACUGACGCUGAGGAGCGAAAGCCAGGGGAGCAAACGGG